GCAGAGCUCUUGCCUGAACUGGGAAGGCGGCUGCCAUUUUCUGGACCAUGUGCUCAGCCAGGUUCUGCUGUUGCCCAGAUCCCAACUUGAAAGAACCUGAUGUGACCAGACUCUGACUGCCAUGCAGAGAAACAUUCCCUUGAGAUGGCCACUAGCUGAUGAUGGAAAGAUGACUGCCCUAAUGCCCUUGUCCACAGCCAGACCCCGCAGAGCUGCCAGGAAGACUGUUUGAAGCUGCUGCCCUGCCUGUUUCCCCAGCGACUGAGCUUUGAAAGCACCAGAAAAGCCAGCGUGAAAGGGAUCCUGUUUGUUCCACCCGAUGAAGUGAGUGAAGUCGCGGAAGAACGAUGCCUCGGAAGAACGAUGCCUGGCCAGGGGGUCCAGUGGGAAAGUAUCAGAGGGGGGACACUGAUACUGUGGAUGCUUGGACAGCACCCCACUGACAGAUGGCUGACAGCUCCACGCCUGCGCGAUGGACGCCAAAUCUCGCCAGCUUGCUUGAAUUCCUUUGGUUGAACAUGUGCGCUUUGCCAGCAUGAACACCUGUUGUGACCUGAUGCCGCCAGCAGACGACUACAUCUGCACCCCGCCUUGCCAGCAGCAGCCGCUUUCCCUUCUGAGUUCCAGUUAUUUACAAUCACUCUGCCUCACCCCGUUUUGCUGGAUCCUCUGAGUUUUGCAAGUUUUCCCCGCCUCUGAGCACCCUAUUGCCCCAAUCUUGAUCCCCAGUGGUCGAGCCUAAUAAAAGCGCCUUGCCUA